UCCAGCGUUCACUCCUAGACUGAUUCCUUGUUACCGACCCCGCCUGUCACUGACUCUCCUGCUUUGCCUGCCUCCCAGUAAACACCUCAGCCUUCUGUACCUGAUCAUGAGCUCUGCUUCUGCGUUCCUGGUGUCUGUUCACCUGUUCCCCUUUGGCUGAGAUCGCAGGACCUGCGGAGCUUCAGUGGACAUCGCAAGUGUGUGUCGGGUGUCGUGGAUGGACUUUCUCUUGCUGCUGGGUGAGGGUGAGGACUGCACUGCUCAUCACUGCCGUGCCGCAACAGUCAGAGAGAGACAAGGGAUUUUCCUCGCGGUAGGAGUUAUUCCCAUUGGCCAUACGGAGCCAGGUGCUUCUCCAUGGUGCUGGAAGUGCACAGCCUCUGUGGUCCUGCCUGUUAUUGUGGACAAAACUAAAAAGAAUAAAAAAUGUAUUUGAAUUUUA